GUCUACAGCCAUGCCCACCCUGAAAGUGCUUGAUCCUGUCUGAUUUGGAAGCUAAGCAGGGUUGGGCCUGGUUAGUACUUGGAUGGGAGACCACCUAGGAAGACCAAGUGCUGUAGACG
rnacentral:rRNA from 1 species